rnacentral:rRNA from 1 species
AUUGAACGCUGGCGGCAUGCCUUACACAUGCAAGUCGAACGGUAACGCGGGGCAACCUGGCGACGAGUGGCGAACGGGUGAGUAAUGUAUCGGAACGUGCCCAGUUGUGGGGGAUAACUGCUCGAAAGAGCAGCUAAUACCGCAUACGACCUGAGGGUGAAAGCGGGGGAUCGCAAGACCUCGCGCAAUUGGAGCGGCCGAUAUCAGAUUAGGUAGUUGGUGGGGUAAAGGCUCACCAAGCCAACGAUCUGUAGCUGGUCUGAGAGGACGACCAGCCACACUGGGACUGAGACACGGCCCAGACUCCUACGGGAGGCAGCAGUGGGGAAUUUUGGACAAUGGGCGCAAGCCUGAUCCGGCCAUGCCGCGUGCGGGAAGAAGGCCUUCGGGUUGUAAACCGCCUUUGUCAGGGAAGAAAAGACUCCUGUUAAUACCGGGGGUUCAUGACGGUACCUGAAGAAUAAGCACCGGCUAACUACGUGCCAGCCGCCGCGGUAA